rnacentral:rRNA from 1 species
CAGUCUGCAACUCGACUGCACGAAGCUGGAAUCGCUAGUAAUCGCGGAUCAGCACGCCGCGUGAAUACGUUCCCGGGCCUUGUACACACCGCCCGUCACACCAUGGAAGUCUGCAAUGCCCGAAGCCGGUGGCCUAACCACUUAUGUGGAAGGAGCCGUCUAAGGCAGGGCAGAUGACUGGGGUGAAGUCGUAACAAGGUAGC